rnacentral:rRNA from 1 species
UACGGAGGAUGCGAGCGUUAUCCGGAUUUAUUGGGUUUAAAGGGUGCGCAGGCGGCACGGCAAGCCGGCGGUCAAAUCGCGGGGCUCAACCCCGCCCAGCCGUCGGAACUGCCGGGCUAGAGUGGGCGAGAAGUGCGCGGAAUGCGUGGUGUAGCGGUGAAAUGCGUAGAUAUCACGCAGAACUCCGAUUGCGAAGGCAGCGUACCGGCGCCCUACUGACGCUGAAGCACGAAGGCGUGGGUAUCGAACAGG